UACAGAGGUGGCAAGCGUUGUUCGGAAUUACUGGGCGUAAAGGGCGCGUAGGCGGCCUCUUUAGUCAGACGUGAAAUCCCCCGGCUUAACCUGGGAACUGCGUCUGAUACUGGGAGGCUAGAGUUCGGGAGAGGGAUGUAGAAUUCCAGGUGUAGCGGUGAAAUGCGUAGAUAUCUGGAGGAAUACCGGUGGCGAAGGCGGCAUCCUGGACCGAAACUGACGCUGAGGAGCGAAAGCCAGGGGAGCAAACGGG
rnacentral:rRNA from 1 species